AGUUCCAUUCUCAUGGUCGUUCAGUAGUUUUCAGUCCAGCGAAUGAUCCGACAGUUAAUGUACGUCGGUCGCCCACCCUCCUCCCCCUUCACUUCCCUUCCCUCUGCUUUUGACGUCAUCAUAAAAAAAGCAAAAUAUUUAUUUCAAAUUACUAUAACUUUUGAAUGAUAUAUCUAUUUUUAAUUCCGCCUACACAGCUGUGUUUAACAUGACGAGGCGAACAAAACUAGACCCCACUUCUAUACGUUUCGAAGAUUUUUAUUUUUCUAGUAGCAAUUUAUGUAUAUUAACUUAUAACAUAUAAGUUAUAUUGCUAACUUAUUCUGCUAAGUUAUACUGCUAACCUAUUCUGCUAAGUUGUAUUGUAUACCUUUUGUUUGUGUAUAAUAACUGCAUAACUUUCUAUAUACACUAGUGUAUUAGUUGUGUAACUUAUGUACAUAAGUUGUAUUGUGUAACUUAUGUCUCCCUCUAUUCCAAAUUAUAAAAUGUUUUGUUAUUUCUAUAUAUAUUAAUUUUGCUAUGUGUAUACAUAUAUAGUUGUGUCUAGAUACAUAGUAAAUUCAAUUUAGAAAAGUCCAUAUACCUUAUAAUUUCAAAAUAAUGGGAGUAAACUUAUGUACAUAAGUUAUAUACUAUAACUAGCAAUGUUGAGUUAUUCCUCGAACUUAUGUUGUCUUCUAAGUUAGUAUUGUUAAGUUUAUCGUGAAAGUUAUGCUUUUAAUUCCGUUUUAUAAGUUAUGAGCACAUGCUUCUUAAAAAAAAUAAAAAAAAGAGCGGGUGAUCUAGCAAAAGAAAGUGAAAAGAGAAUCGAAUGCCUCAAAAGAGAAAGAGAAAUGAUUCCUGUUUUGUCAAAAAAUAGAAAGUAACAUAUGCACUUUCCAAAAAAAGAAAAGAAAUGGUUGUCGAAAAUUGACCGCUGCUUUCGUUUCCACUGAACGUUCGUGAAAUAGUGGCGUUUCAUUCUCACGGUCGUUCAGUAGUUUUCAGUCCAGCGAACAAUCCGACAGUUAAUGUACGUCGGUCGCCCACCCUCCUCCCCCUCCACUUCCCUUUAACAUCGCGUCACCGAUUAUGAUUUGAGUUCUG
rnacentral:lncRNA from 1 species